AUGGAUGUAUAUUAUGGAUUUUAAAGCGUUUUUAGUUCAUGUAUUGAAUUGUAUGGUCUGGGCUGGAGCUGGAGCUAUCGGGGCUGUACGAUAUCGUAGUGCUACAGAGAUAGUUAUUAAAUCGCAAGCCCUAGGGUGUACUUUUAUUUAUUGACCUAUCAAUCCAUUGUUCUGCCACGGCAUCCCAAAUUUAUGCCAAAAUCUUG
rnacentral:lncRNA from 1 species